rnacentral:rRNA from 1 species
UACGGAGGGGGCCAGCGUUGUUCGGAAUCAUUGGGCGUAAAGGGCGCGUAGGCGGCCGAUCAAGUCGGAGGUGAAAUCCCUCGGCUCAACUGAGGAAUUGCCUCCGAUACUGUUCGGCUUGAGUCCUGGAGAGGGUAGUGGAAUUCCCAGUGUAGCGGUGAAAUGCGUAGAGACUGGGAAGAACACCAGUGGCGAAGGCGGCUACCUGGACCAACACUGACACUGAUGAGCGAAAGCCAGGGGAGCAAACGGG